rnacentral:rRNA from 1 species
GGCGUGCUUAACACAUGCAAGUCGAACGAAGCAUAUGAGUGGAAUUUUUCGGAAGGAAACAACUAUGACUGAGUGGCGGACGGGUGAGUAACGCGUGGGUAACCUGCCUCAUACAGGGGGAUAACAGUUAGAAAUGACUGCUAAUACCGCAUAAGCGCACAAAACCGCAUGGUUUGGUGUGAAAAACUGAGGUGGUAUGAGAUGGACCCGCGUCUGAUUAGCUAGUUGGAGAGGUAACGGCUCACCAAGGCAACGAUCAGUAGCCGACCUGAGAGGGUGACCGGCCACAUUGGGACUGAGACACGGCCCAAACUCCUACGGGAGGCAGCAGUGGGGAAUAUUGCACAAUGGGGGAAACCCUGAUGCAGCAACGCCGCGUGAGUGAAGAAGUAUUUCGGUAUGUAAAGCUCUAUCAGCAGGGAAGAAGAGAGACGGUACCUGACUAAGAAGCCCCGGCUAACUACGUGCCAGCAGCCGCGGUAAUACGUAGGGGGCAAGCGUUAUCCGGAUUUACUGGGUGUAAAGGGAGCGUAGACGGCAGGGCAAGUCUGGAGUGAAAGCCCGGGGCCCAACCCCGGGACUGCUUUGGAAACUGCCAUGCUAGAGUGCUGGAGAGGUAAGCGGAAUUCCUAGUGUAGCGGUGAAAUGCGUAGAUAUAUGGAAGAACACCAGUGGCGAAGGCGGCUUACUGGUCUGUAACUGACGCUGAGGCUCGAAAGCAUGGGUAGCGAACAGGAUUAGAUACCCUGGUAGUCCAUGCCGUAAACGAUGAGUGCUAAGUGUUGGGAGGUUUCCGCCUCUCAGUGCUGCAGCUAACGCAUUAAGCACUCCGCCUGGGGAGUACGACCGCAAGGUUGAAACUCAAAGGAAUUGACGGGGGCCCGCACAAGCGGUGGAGCAUGUGGUUUAAUUCGAAGCAACGCGAAGAACCUUACCAGGUCUUGACAUCUAGUGCCAUCCUAAGAGAUUAGGAGUUCCCUUCGGGGACACUAAGACAGGUGGUGCAUGGCUGUCGUCAGCUCGUGUCGUGAGAUGUUGGGUUAAGUCCCGCAACGAGCGCAACCCUUGUUAUUAGUUGCCAGCAUUAAGUUGGGCACUCUAAUGAGACUGCCGGUGACAAACCGGAGGAAGGUGGGGAUGACGUCAAGUCAUCAUGCCCCUUAUGACCUGGGCUACACACGUGCUACAAUGGACGGUACAACGAGAAGCGAACCUGCGAAGGCAAGCGGAUCUCUUAAAGCCGUUCUCAGUUCGGACUGUAGGCUGCAACUCGCCUACACGAAGCUGGAAUCGCUAGUAAUCGCGGAUCAGCACGCCGCGGUGAAUACGUUCCCGGGCCU